AUGCAUUUUGUAUUUCCAGUCCAGAUGCAUAGCUGCUUCUCAAUGAUAAAAAUUUACUACUUCUUCAUCCUCUUGAAGACCCUCUUGCAACUCCAGCAUCAAAGAGAUAUAAUAACUAAUUGCACUUCUCGUUCCUGCCACCAUGUGAAGAAAAACAUGUUUGCUUCCCCUUCUGCCAUGACUGUAAGCUUCCUGAGGCAACCCAGCCAUGCUGAACUAUUUUGUGAAUGGAAAAAGUAG
rnacentral:lncRNA from 1 species